rnacentral:misc_RNA from 1 species
GAAAUGCGAUAAGUAGUGUGAAUUGCAGAAUUCAGUGAAUCAUCGAAUCUUUGAACGCACAUUGCGCCCCUUGGUAUUCCAUGGGGCAUGCCUGUUCGAGCGUCAUUUGUACCUUCAAGCUUUGCUUGGUGUUGGGUGUUUGUCCCUCGGGACUCGCCUUAAAGUCAUUGGCAGCCAGUGUUUUGGUUUUGAAGCGCAGCACAAGUCGCGAUUCAAGGCUAUCCGCCCGCUUCCACAAGCCUUUUUCACUUUUGACCUCGGAUCAGGUAGGGAUACCCGCUGAACUUAA